rnacentral:lncRNA from 7 species
CAUCGUCCAGAUUGUGGCUGAAGCUGAAUUUUAUGAGCCUUCCCCCAGUGCAGAAGGGGUGAUGCCUGACCUACACACCCGGCAAUACCAGAAGUUUCACUACCUUCCGUUGGUAAACGCUUCAGGGAAGGCUCUGCAACCCUGAACGUGUUUUAUUGUAGAACCUCACUAGGAAACUCAUCAGUAUUUAUUAAAGAUGAAUUAAAAGAAGGAGGAAAAGGAAAAACGGGAUAGUGAAGAGAAUAGAUGAAUGAAAAAGAAGCAAAGGGAAGAGAGGAGGAAGGGACAAAGAGGGCAAGAAAAGAGAAAAGAGAGAUGAGAGACCAGGACUUCCCACCUAACCUUACCAAACUUUUUCAGUUGAGCUUUUAAUGGGAUACUAUUCCCAAGAGGAAAUUCAAAAAGAAAA